GUCAAAGCGGGUGGAACUGAUCAUUUGUGGGGUGUUUGCCUCACGUAUUUCGGUUUUCAAAUUUUGACCCUACACAUUUGUUACAUAUUUACAAACUGAAAAACAACAAAUAGAAAGUUAUUUAUAGCAGAGGACCCUGGAAUUAAAGAGAGAUUUUUUUCAAGCCUGGAAGUGUACAUCACAUACCACAAGGACCUCUACUUUGUGUGGAAACUUGAAAAUAAAAAAGUCACAGGGAGCUCAACACCAGCUUUGUCCCACAUCUUUCAGAUGCUCAACUAACUGCAGUGAUUGCUCUCAAAUUCACCCAUUCUCUCUGGGUAAGAUUCAAUUAGGUAACAAUUAGGAGAAAAAAAAAAGGAAGCUUCAAUCCCUCCCAUUGCACACCCAACUUUCACAGACCCAAAAAUCCAGCUAAAGCUGGAGAAAGAGCAGCGAAAGCCAUGCUGGAAUCCCCUCUUUGAAACAAGACACUCAUGUCCAUGUUCCCAGCGUGAAGGUCAGCCCAGAGCCGGGCCGGCCCCGCAGCAGCAAAGCCGUGACACCCAUCACCAGGAGAACAGAAGCAACGUCUAGGUCAGAGAUUAGUGACUGCCAAAAAUAAGGUGAAAGUUGCCCCCAAAGCCAGUGAACACGGGAAAACCUGGGCAGAUUUCCUUCGCAAAGAAAGUGAAGAGAGUUUAAGACGCUCAGAAAAGCAAGAAACGAGUGCUAAACGUUACUUACUACAGGUGCUGUAUGUUAAAUGCUUUUUUUUAUUUACCAGUGCUAGAAAUAAGUUUCAUGCCAAGAGUUUACAAAAAAAAAAAAAAAAA